rnacentral:lncRNA from 1 species
UUCCCUCACAACUCACAGAAUUGAUUCGAUUUGGAAAUGACAUUGUAUCCAGAGGAUUGACUUUUGUCUCUCUCAAGGGCUUGUGAUGAUACAAUUCACCUCCUCAUUGGCUGCUCUUUUUGAAGAAAACAAAACUCCGAUUUCUGGAUGGAAUUGAGCUUGUGGUCCACAUGGGAGGGGCGAGAGGCCUUACGGUGGAGCGGACUUUGCUUUUCUCAUCUUACCAGUGACCUGGGUGUCUUGCCGGGCACAUGAUGGCCACUCAGCCCUCGGGCCCUUCCCUUUCCUUUGGCUCAACCUUCCUUUGGGAGAGGAUUUUGCCUCCUCGGAGUCUUUCCUACCAGGAGUCACAGGCCUUCUGUUCUAAGUUAAAGGAGGUCUGAAGAUGGGAUGAGAGGGAGAACGACCCCGUGACCUCCCCUCCACUGUCCUGCAGCCCAGCCCGGGGACCUCCCCAACCCCACCAGCAUCUUUGCCAGCUUCCAAUGAAUUCAGAGCCCUCUGCAGCAGGGGAUCUAAAUUUAGACCCUGUGCUCUGUUAACUCGGUGAAUAAUGCUAAUUAGCAUAACAAUUCUUCCUGCAAUUAAGCUGGGGAGGGGGA